rnacentral:rRNA from 1 species
AGUGAACGCUGGCGGUAGGCCUAACACAUGCCAGUCGAACGGCAGCACAGUAAGAGCUUGCUCUUACGGGUGGCGAGUGGCGGACGGGUGAGGAAUAAAUCGGAAUCUACUUUUUCGUGGGGGAUAACGUAGGGAAACUUACGCUAAUACCGCAUACGACCUACGGGUGAAAGCAGGGGAUCUUCGGACCUUGCGCGAUUGAAUGAGCCGAUGUCGGAUUAGCUAGUUGGCGGGGUAAAGGCCCACCAAGGCGACGAUCCGUAGCUGGUCUGAGAGGAUGAUCAGACACACUGGAACUGAAGCACGGUCCAGACUACUACGGGAGGCAGCAGUGGGGAAUAUUGGACAAUGGGCGCAAGCCUGAUCCAGCCCUACCGCGUGGGUGAAGAAGGCCUUCGGGUUGUAAAGCCCUUUUGUUGGGAAAGAAAAGCAGCAGGUUAAUACCCCGCUGUUCUGACGGUACCCAAAGAAUAAGCACCGGCUAACUUCGUG